UUCACUUUUUAUUAUUUUUAAAGGCUAUCUGCACUGGUCUACAUUGUAAAAUUAUAUUUUAUAAAAAUAAGUGUGUGUGUUUCUAGUGAUCUAUGCAUUAGAUAUGUAUGCUGUCUUUGGCUUCUGGGGGCCUACCAUGAACUUUCUUAAAACAAUCCAGUUGAGAUGCAGUUGAGUUUAGGUACCUAAAGUCAAUAGCAUUUUUUCGUACCAUGACCGCCUAUAAGCUGAAACGUAUUUGCAUCGCAAGACCGAAUGAAAGAACGAUAAUUUUAUUAGAGGUUUCUAUUUAAGUUUUGAAAUUUAACUGUCAAACUUUCUUUGACAGAUGUUUCUAUAAAAAUAAAUAAAAUAUAAAAUUGUUUUCAAUAAUUCAUCAAUCAUAAUAAGCUAUAAUGUCUUAAUAUAUAUAUUUAUUUGAUAUAUAAAAAUACUCUUUGAUAUAUUUUCAACAGUUUUCUGGUGCUAUGAUAGUUGACACUUAUUAUUUUUAAACGUUUCCGUCAAAUUUUGAUAGGAGCUUUCAAUAUUUUGGUGUUUACAAAAUUUCAUAAAUAUAGUUUUACAAAUUGUUUCACUUAUAAAAUAAUAUGAUGGGCUUAAACCUGACAAACUCGCUGAAUUGAGAGAAUGAAAUAUAUGAAUAUAUGUUUAUAUCCAAUUGAACAUUGCCUGAAGACACCUUUUUCUAUCUUGAUGGAGUCAUCUACUAAAUAAAAACUGUUAUUAUAUUAUUU